rnacentral:rRNA from 1 species
GGCCGCGGGAAUUCGAUUAGAGUUUGAUCAUGGCUCAGGAUGAACGCUGGCGGUAUGCCUAACACAUGCAAGUCGUACGAGAGUUUUUAACUCUAGUGGCGGACGGGUGAGUAACACGUGAGAAUUUGCCUUUAGGAGGGGGACAACAAUUGGAAACGAAUGCUAAUACCCCAUAUGCUUUCGAGUAAAAUGGAUUUUAUCUGCCUAAAGAGAAGCUCGCGGCUGAUUAGCUUGUUGGUAAGGUAAAAGCUUACCAAGGCGACGAUCAGUAUCUGGUUUGAGAGGACGAUCAGACACACUGGAACUGAGACACGGUCCAGACUCCUACGGGAGGCAGCAGUGGGGAAUUUUCCGCAAUGGGCGAAAGCCUGACGGAGCAAUACCGCGUGAGGGAAGACUGCCUAUGGGUUGUAAACCUCUUUUUUCAGGGAGGAAUAAAAUGACGUGUACCUGAAGAAUAAGCAUCGGCUAACUCCGUGCCAGCAGCCGCGGUAAGACGGAGGAUGCAAGUGUUAUCCGGAAUCACUGGG